rnacentral:rRNA from 1 species
UACAGAGGGUGCGAGCGUUGUCCGGAAUCACUGGGCGUAAAGGGCGCGUAGGUGGCGAGCCAAGUCCAUGGUGAAAGCUCGAUGCUCAACAUCGAGUCGGCCACGGAUACUGGUGCGCUUGAGCACUGUAGAGGCUAAUGGAAUUCCGGGUGUAGCGGUGGAAUGCGUAGAGAUCCGGAAGAACACCGGUGGCGAAGGCGGUUAGCUGGACCGACAUUGACGCUGAGGCGCGAAAGCGUGGGGAGCAAACAGG